GGGGUGGAAGGUUGUUGUUUCUAAGUCCCACAUUGGUUAGAUGAGGGAAGAGAAGAGGUGCCUUCAUGUAUAAAAAGGAGGGGGUGUGUGCAUUAGGAAGCAUGAGAGGCUAAGAUGCAAUUUAGAGAAAAUUGCAACUUUGGGCCCAAAGGUUUGAAUAAUUAAAUUCAAACCUAUAGUUUUUUUUUAAUAUAAUUUUGGGACUCACAAUCCCAUUUUUAUAUUAUUUUUCUCUCUUCCUCUCACGUUGCUCGGCGUUUUCUCGCAAGGGGGGAUUAUUUUCUUUUUUCUUCAGAUUAUAUUGACAAAGAUAGUGGUGAAAAAGGAGUUGUGAAGGGGAACUUGUUGUUCAAGACACAAGGAGCGAAUCCGGCCGAGAAAGCACCAGAGGUGUAAUUAUGGUGUAUGAGACACCAUCUUUUACGUUGCCUCUUAUUUUGGAUUAUACAAUGUAUCUUGUGCCAACUUAGGAUAUAUCUUGUCUAUGGAGCAUGUAAACUCUAAUCCUUUUUAUUAAAUGCAUUUAUAUGUCCAAGAGGAUUAUGUCUAUCCCUUUUGA